AAAUUGAAGAGUUUGAUCAUGGCUCAGAUUGAACGCUGGCGGCAGGCCUAACACAUGCAAGUCGAACGGUAGCACAGAGAGCUUGCUCUCGGGUGACGAGUGGCGGACGGGUGAGUAAUGUCUGGGAAACUGCCUGAUGGAGGGGGAUAACUACUGGAAACGGUGGCUAAUACCGCAUAACGUCGCAAGACCAAAGAGGGGGACCUUCGGGCCUCUUGCCAUCAGAUGUGCCCAGAUGGGAUUAGCUAGUUGGUGAGGUAACGGCUCACCAAGGCGACGAUCCCUAGCUGGUCUGAGAGGAUGACCAGCCACACUGGAACUGAGACACGGUCCAGACUCCUACGG
rnacentral:rRNA from 1 species